rnacentral:rRNA from 1 species
CGUUGGAACCACCUGAUCCCUUCCCGAACUCAGAAGUGAAACGACGCAUCGCCGAUGGUAGUGUGGGGUCUCCCCAUGUGAGAGUAGGUCAUCGUCAAGC